AUUUGAAUACUAGAACCAGCUUCUGCCUACAUGGGAAAAAAUUCCUGCAUUUCUCACUUUCAGUCGGCUUUUCUAGCCCUGCUCCGCUCUGUUGCGAAGUCUACCUCAGUCUCGCUUUGCUCGCUCCAGAGCUAGCUGUUGAGAUGCAGCUCAGAGCAAGCCGAGAAUGUGUCGAUUAUCAUCUAUCAAGCAUCCUCGUCUGAAAACUGGAACUAAUAGUACCAACCUCACAGAAUUAUUAUCGGGAUUAAAAGAGGUAACAUAGACAAAGCGCUCUGCCAGUAAAACACAACUAUAAUUAGCCCGUUGCCCCAGAUGCCCAGGUGAGAUAUCUGGAUGCUAAAUAAUGAAGUAAAUUAAUUUGGCCUUUCUGACCUCCACCCAGAAGGCUACUCAUUGGUUGGAAGAAAAUAGAGAGGAGGACAAACAACUCUUUGGAAGAGGGGACUAUAGGUUAAAAAAAAAACACUCUUCAAUAAAUGAGCUAUGGCAUCUGAGAAGCAACAUGUCCAAGGGAGAGAGAGCUGUCCCUUCAGCAGAGGAACAUAAUCAAUCCUAAACGUGGCCCAGAAGAAACCGAAGCCCUAGCUGGACCACACAAAGGUUCUGUGGAUGAGGCAUGGUGCCUGGCACAGACUGACACAUGUUGGGACAAACUUGGCAGAGCAGCCAGAGCCAAAGCAAAAAACAGGAAUGAACCAAGAUACAACCUUUGUGGAAAACCCUGUUGAACAAAAGCAACUCUGUGGAGUAUCCUCUUAGCUGCAAAGUGAGACAGAAUUACGGGGCAAGCUUGGCCACUGAUGGAGGUCAGCAACCUGAACCAAACAUAAGGAAACCACUUGCUCCAAAUCAUCAGUAGAAGGUUGAGCAUACUACAACCAAGAGGAAGUGGAGACACAAGGGAUGCCAACUUGGAGGCUAAUUUGCUAUGUUCACUUCUGAUUAGCCCUUGUCUUGUGAAUGCCUCCUGAUUACUACUUAAUUUACUGUCCUUAGUGUAAGAACAUAACAACCUUGAUGUUGUCACACAAAUUAUAGGCUUUGAUGCAUGCAGCACUCUUGUCUCUUCUGGAAGGUAGUCUUUCAUUGUCUUGCACAGGGCACAUGUACUCUUUCCCUAUGAUAUAUAAGCCCUGGUUCUGGGGGUAACAGGUGCAGACAUCUCCCUGACUUGCUGCCACUAAAGACCAUGCUUCCAUCUGUAAGUUCCCCCAGUAAAACAUCCUUUACCAACACACUGGAGUUGUCUGCCUUGUUCUUUGGUUGCUUGGCUCUUUUGGCAUUUGGGGACUGCUUUGCAUAUAUGAUCCUUUCAUGGAGCAGGCAUGUUCCCAUGCUAUCCAGCUGGCUGCUGACACUGCCAUAGGGCAACCCUCAGAGAGAACUGGCCACCUCUCCCUUCAAGUGUUGAAAAGAGUGAGAAGUACAGGGCUACUCCCUAGGCCAAAUGACCAAUGCUCUGCUGGAGCUAUCCAAUUCUCACUGUUAGCCUGGGUACUCUCCAGGAGACCAAACAUUCUGUACUUAGGCAGCCCUCAAGAAUCAAAGAGUUACACCCUCAGCAGUGGAAAAGUUAAACACACUUUCCAAGUUAAAAACUCCUUGUGUUGCAGAUCUCAGGAUAGGCUAAAGCUCUUCUGGGGAGCAUUUAUCCCCGUUAAUGUGUUGUUAUCAGGGUUGGGGGUAUAACUUACAGAGAAAGUCAUGACACAGUGAUACCACAUGCUAUCCAUCUGCCAUAGGAAGAAAUUUAUUGUGUUGCAUGGAUUUGUGCAAUAUAAAUAUUUCUCGAAAGAAAGAAAGAAUGAAUGAUGACAUCACUAGUUUUUAGGCACUGAUUUUUGAGAAUCUGCAUAUAUGGAAGUUGAGUGUUCUGAAAUUAGCACAUUAUGGUUGUGGAAGGAGUCAACUAGCUUAAGGAAACAUAAGAAGCUGCAGGGAACCUGAGACAGAGUAGGAUGAGGCAAGAAGAAAGACCUAGUGUGGGGCCAGGACUGUGAGACUCACACUUGGUCCUUUUAACAGGGACCUCCUAAGGCCUAGGGGAUGGGAUUAGCUCCAGAUGUCACUGCACCCAAAUGUCUCUUCACUGCUAGGGAGAGAAGAAAGGAAGGCAGAGAAAGCAUGAGCGAGCCUGGCUGGGGAGGGCUACUAGGGUCCUUGUGGCAGAGAUGACUCUACCCACACUUGAGAGACUGAUGUGUCAGGAAAGCAUGCAGAGGUAAGUGAGAUGCUAGGUCAAGGAAUGAGAAAAGAGAGUCCGGAGGGAUCUGGGAGUAGAUAUGGGAAGCCAUGGUGUCAAGCCAGAGACUAGAACCUGGGCUCAGAGGUUCUGGAGGGUGAGAGGGCAGUGCUGGCCAACCACACAGAGUAGGCAUUGGAGUCAGUAAUGGCCUAGGUGUGCUGGCUGCAGCCCAGCUCAGAGCCCAGGGGAAGCUGGCUGCACCUAAAGAACUGAGGCACUGCAAAAAGUUAUACCCCUAAACUGUGGAGAUGUUAGCCAAAGCUCCUUUCAGGAGUGGCAAGAGCUGUGUGUCUGAACCAGUCCUAGUACUGGCCGUGAUCCUGAUAACGUGUUUAUGAGCUCUUGAGUUAAACCAAUCUAUAGAGGCCAUCUGGAGUGUUGGCUUCAGUCCUUCCUUAUCCCCACACCAUCCCCCUAACGCUUUGCAGAAUAGAGACCUCUCAAAUACUGUAAGGAGAGUAUGUGAAUUUAGGUUGGCCUAAUUGGUUUUGUGAUUUCUGUUUGGUUGAGCUGUCAGGAAUUUGUUCUGAUGGGCUGGGUUGGGUGACAGAGUUAUUCAUUAACCAGACCCGAGAAGGGGAGGGAGCCAUGUACAACUUGCCAAGCGCUAGUAGUUGACCUCAAACCCUAGAAAGGCUCCAUCUCUGUCAAAUGGAGUCUUACCACGUAAGUCUCUUCAUCCCCCUACUCCACGUCAUUGAAUACAGAAUAAAGGUACAUGUUUAUAGGCUCUCAAAGAGCAGGGACCACGUGAUGUAAUCCUUUGCAUCUACUAUUAGACACUGUCUAAUAUGGUAUCCUCUGACCCCACAUGGCUUUCAAACCCUUCAUAAAGGGCUACCCUGAAUUGAGAUGUGCUGAAUUUUGAAGAGUUAAUAUAGAAAAAUAAUGUAAAACAUCUUAUUAGUAUGUUCUUAAAUUAAUUAUGUUUGGUUAAGGAAAAUAUAUUAUUAAAAGUAAUUUCUUCAGUUUCCUUUUAUUUUAUUUUUUUUAAUGCAGCUACUCAAAAAUUCAAAACUCUGUACAAGGCAUGGUAUUUCUGGCAGGUAGCACUAUUUACUACCCUCUCUGGGGCAAAUCCAAAUCACAGAUCUUAUAUAAUUUGGAUAAUAAACCCCCUUCAGUCACCAGUGAGCCCACACUGAUAAAAGAAAUAAACUGAUUGCAGAGCCUUUGAGAUCUCAACCCAAUUAAACGCUGACCUUUGUUCCUUCUUUUCACAGCCAGUUAGGAAAUAAAUUACUCAGAGGAAAAUCUUAACAAUUUCUAUCAACUGAAAGUCUAGUCUCAGACCCAGACUGACUUUCAUUCAAUCCAUUCUCUGAAAUUUGAACAUCUAACCGCAGACUUCCGGGGCUCAUCUAGCUGAGACAGGGAUCCUUCUGGAAAAAAUAGGCAAGUCUCUGGGUGCUUCUAGCUUCUGGCCCUGUUCCCUCAAAAGGUCAGUUUCAAUCUCAGAUCACACAGGUCAUGUGCUAGAACUCCUUCUCCCCAUGUUCCCUCAGGCGCCUGAUCAGCGUGGCAGAGCCUGAGUUAUAGGUCACAGUUCCAGCGGUUGUUCUUAGCUCUUUCAAAGCCACACUUAACACUAAUCCUGAAGACUUUCUUUUUCUACAUCACUUUAUGCUUGGCUGGGAUUAAAUGGAAGACUUAUACCAUCAGCAAAUUGGCUUUCCACACCUCACAAACCAACUCACAUGCUUACUCCCAAUCCUUGAGAAUACUGGGUCUAAUUCCCAAAGUCAGCUGGUAUUUCAGGCUAAGAUCAGCUCGAGCCUCCAUCCAAGGCCUAGUGAGAAUGCUCUGUUUGCCUAAGAGGAUUAAGUGGAGGACAGCCAGCUAAGCUUCACAGAGACUUUUUAAUGACUUCAGCUCUAAUCGCUUCCUGUUCUAGGCCUCAUCAGCCACCACCAGUUAUGACCGGGCUUUUUUAAGUCUGAUGUCACUAAUCUGUUCCACUCCAAGGAUGCCAAAGCCCCUCUCUUUGUUGUCUCUUUUGCUUCCCCUUUGUAGGCUCCACUUUUAUUCUUCUGAAGAAUGUAACCCCUUUGCCCCCACUCCUCUUACCUCUCAACCUGUCUCUCUCAUCUCACCAGUUUGGUCUUCUCUCUGAGUAUUUUGGACAGGAAGUAGAACCUCAUUCACAGGCUCAUGUCAUCAUUUUUGGAAUAACUUAUUUAAAUGGAACAUUCACUGUCACAAAAAUAAACUUGCAUUUUAGGGCCUGGUGCUGUGACUUGCACCUGUAAUCCCAGCACUUUGGGAUCCAGGUGGUUGGAUUGCUUGAAGCCAGGAGUUCAAGGCCAGCAUGAGCAGCACAGCAGGACACUGUUUCUACAGCAAAUUUUAAAAUUAGCCAGAUGUGGUGGCCUGUGCCUGUAGUUCCAGCUACACAGAAGGCUGAGGCAGGAAAAUUACCUGAGCCCAGGAGUUUGAGGUUGUAGUGAGCUAUGACUGCACCACUGCACUCCAGCUUGGAUGACAGAGUGAGGCCCUGUCUCUAAAAAAACGAAAAACAAAAAUCUUUUUAAAAAAAGAAAUCUGCAUUUGAUCCGAGAAAGCAGAGACAAUAUGUGUGAGCAAUUUCUGGCUCCAGUUGUCUAUGACUUGGAAAACCUGUUUAUCCAUAGUUCACCUCUUGAUUGUGAUAUAACUUCUUUUACUUGGUAGUUCCCACAUUCAGCUUGAUCCAAAGACUAUGAUCAAAACUCAUGGUGCCUUGUGGUGUUAUUGAAAUCUUUAAAUUAUUCUUCUUUUAUAAUAGAGUUACCUUUCCUCUCUGGUCAAGGAGCUGUUAGAGUGUGUGUCAGCUGGAAAAAAAAAUUCUAAUUACAGUGUCAAUAUUUUAAAAAUAUUUUGGCACUAGGCUUACUAGGUCUACUGUUUUGUGAGUUCUGUGUGUCCACUGUCCAGUUUUGGUAUUAGUGUU